GCCGGGUGUGGUGGCACACGCCUGUAAUCCCAGUGGCUCAGGAGGCUGAGGCAGGAGGAUUGCAAAUUCAAAGCCAGUCUCCGCAACUUAGUGAGGCGCUAAGCAACUCAAUGAGACCCUGUCUCCA
rnacentral:sRNA from 1 species